UGCAGUCGAACGGUGAAAGAGAGCUUGCUCUCUGGAUCAGUGGCGAACGGGUGAGUAACACGUGAGCAAUCUGCCCUUGACUCUGGGAUAAGCGCUGGAAACGGCGUCUAAUACCGGAUACGAGCUGCGAAGGCAUCUUCAGCAGCUGGAAAGAACUUCGGUCAAGGAUGAGCUCGCGGCCUAUCAGCUAGUUGGUGAGGUAAUGGCUCACCAAGGCGUCGACGGGUAGCCGGCCUGAGAGGGUGACCGGCCACACUGGGACUGAGACACGGCCCAGACUCCUACGGGAGGCAGCAGUGGGGAAUAUUGCACAAUGGGCGCAAGCCUGAUGCAGCAACGCCGCGUGAGGGACGACGGCCUUCGGGUUGUAAACCUCUUUUAGCAGGGAAGAAGCGAAAGUGACGGUACCUGCAGAAAAAGCACCGGCUAACUACGUGCCAGCAGCCGCGGUAAUACGUAGGGUGCAAGCGUUAUCCGGAAUUAUUGGGCGUAAAGAGCUCGUAGGCGGUUUGUCGCGUCUGCUGUGAAAACCCGAGGCUCAACCUCGGGCCUGCAGUGGGUACGGGCAGACUAGAGUGCGGUAGGGGAGAUUGGAAUUCCUGGUGUAGCGGUGGAAUGCGCAGAUAUCAGGAGGAACACCGAUGGCGAAGGCAGAUCUCUGGGCCGUAACUGACGCUGAGGAGCGAAAGGGUGGGGAGCAAACAGGCUUAGAUACCCUGGUAGUCCACCCCGUAAACGUUGGGAACUAGUUGUGGGGUCCAUUCCACGGAUUCCGUGACGCAGCUAACGCAUUAAGUUCCCCGCCUGGGGAGUACGGCCGCAAGGCUAAAACUCAAAGGAAUUGACGGGGACCCGCACAAGCGGCGGAGCAUGCGGAUUAAUUCGAUGCACGCGAA
rnacentral:rRNA from 1 species